AUUCAGAAGCCUAGCCACGAUGAAUUGUUGUAUUAUUGCCUAAUCUCUCACAACUCUACUGUUAAGGUUACUGUAAACAUCUAAUUUUGUUAGGUUCUGAG